CUCCGGGAACCUUCGAGUUUAGUACAGACUUAUAACGGUAUAAACAAUUUGUUACACGGAUGUUAUAUUAUUGUUAGCUUUAUUGAUUUGUACAUAGGUGUCCGCCAGUAUUGUAGACAAAAGCAAAUUCUCCAGUCAAACGAAACAAUUCAAGUGACGGCACGUGUUGUCGGUGUCCACCUGUUAAGUCUGGAGUUUGAAAUUCCCGUUGCCGAAAAAAGUGCAUAAUUUCUAGACGCCAUUGUAUAAUCUACAUUAUACAAUAGUAUUUUGAAAGUGACUCGAGAACUUAUACAUC